CCUCUGGUCAUUUAUAGGGAAAAAUGUAUUACAGUCUUUUUUUUUUUGUAGGGGAAGAAAAACUUUCUAAAGUUCUGUGGCUGAGGGCUGUGAAUAAAACGGACAAAAGGCUGAUUAACAGGAGAAAAAGCAUAUAUACUUGUAAACCACUGAACUAAAAACAAGAAGAAAAAAAUCCCAAAGUGGUCAAGUUUAUAAAAGCAACUUUAAUUGAUAUUUUAACCUUUCCUUCCACAGGGGCCACACAGAAAGAGACAGAAAGUCAAAAGCAGCAGUCAGGCUUGGAAGCUGACACAACACAUUAACACAAGGCGGUAAAUGGGGAAGUGAACAGGAGACGGAACCACCUUACAGAGGGACGGCUCCAAGGAAAGGAGAGGAGCCACCUUAUGGAGGGACAUUCAUGUCGUGCUGUUGGGCAGAAAGAAGCAGGACGGAGAUCUUCCUGCACCUACUCUUCUCAGUUGGCUUCAGC